UCCAGGUUUUGAGUCCACAUAAGGCAAAGAGAUGUAUCAAUGAGAAGGCACAGGCUCGGUUUGUAUUCCUAGGACUCUAUCAUGAAGGCCCUGGAAUUCACAAACAAUUCAGAGACAAGCACUAUGACGGAAUUUGUUCUCCUUGGCUUUCCUGGUUGUCAGGAGAUGCAAAGUUUCCUCUUCUCCCUGUUCUUUGUGAUCUAUGUAUUUACCAUAAUAGGAAAUGGGACCAUUGUCUGUGCUGUGAGAUUGGACAAACGGCUUCAUACCCCAAUGUAUAUUCUCCUAGGGAACUUUGCUUUCCUUGAAAUCCGGUAAGUUACUUCCACUGUACCCAACAUGCUAGUCAACUUCCUCUCAGAGACAAAAACCAUCUCUUUUGUUGGCUGUUUCCUCCAGUUCUACUUUUUUACUUCCCUUGGUACAAUAGAAGCAUACUUCCUCUGCAUCAUGGCAUAUGAUCGGUACCUUGCUAUCUGCCGCCCAUUGCACUACCCAACCAUCAUGACCCCACAACUCUGCUACAUAUUGAUGUCUUUUUGCUGGGUGUUUGGAUUCCUCAGUUACUCUGUCUCCACUGUGCAACUGUCUCAACUGCCUUUCUGUGGGCCCAACAUCAUCAAUCACUUUUUGUGUGACAUGGACCCACUGAUGGCUCUGUCCUGUGCCUCAGCUCCUAUCACUGAGAUUAUCUUCUAUAUCCUGAGCUCCCUCAUUAUCAUUCUCACUCUUCUGUACAUCUGUGGCUCCUAUAUGCUUUACUGAUAGCUGUAUUAAAAGUCCCUUCAGCAGCUGGCCAGCAGAAGGCCUUUUCCACCUGUGGAUCUCAUCUGACAGUGGUGUGUUUAUUCUUUGGGGCCCUACUGGCAAUGUAUGUGAGCCCCACAACUGAUAACCCAGCUGCAAUUUAGAAGAUUAUAACUUUGUUCUAUUCUGUGGUGACCCCCUUCUUAAACCCCCUGAUUUACAGCUUACGAAACAAAGAGAUGAAGGCUGCGUUGAAGAAAGUCCUGAGGAUAGAAUGAGAAUAAAGUCAUCUACAUGAGACCAAGCAAACCAUUGUUCAGACAUAAAAGAUUAACUAAGAAAUACCUGAUUUUCUGAUUCUACUUCUCCAAUACACCCUUUAAAGAAGAUAUUUUCUCAGCGAGGUCCCUCAUUGUUUUAUUUCUUAACUAACCUGGCAGAGCUAAACCAUAGUUGAUUCAUAUUCCAUUCCAAAUGAAACAAUCAUAUUUUCAACACAGGUGACUCCAGUAGAUGAUAUUUGAGGGUAUUUUAUCUGUCCUAUUUCAUACUGUAUCGUUUUGAUUACUGGAGACAGG
ensembl:lncRNA novel transcript